rnacentral:rRNA from 1 species
AACGAACGCUGGCGGCAUGCCUAACACAUGCAAGUCGAACGGAACCGUCGGGUCUAGUGGCGCACGGGGGCGUAAGGCGGGGGAAGCUGCCCGUAGGUACGGAAUAACUCCCCGAAAGGGAUGUUAAUAACGGAUAAUGUCAUCGGACCAAGGAGUUAUCGCUGUUGGCUGGGCCCGCGUUGGCUUAGGUGGUUGGUAGGGUAAAAGCCUGCCAAGGGGACGAUCCAUGGCUGGUAGGGGAGGAGGGUCAGCCACACUGGGACUGCGACACGGCCCAGUAGGCUACGGGAGGCAGCAGUAGGGAAUAUUGGACGCUGGGCGCAAGCCUGAUCCCGCCGUGCCGGGUGAGUGAUGCAGGCCUUAGGGUUGUAAAGCUCUUUUACCCGGGAUGAUAAUGACAGUACCGGGAGAAUAAGCUCCGGCUAACUCCGUG